UGGGGUGUAGCUCAGUGGUAGAGUGCUCACCUCGAAUGUGGAAGGCACUGGGUUCAAUCCUCAGCACCAUAU
rnacentral:tRNA from 1 species